GCCGGGCGUGGUGGCUCACGCCUGUAAUUCCAGCACUUUGGGAGGCUGAGGUGGGUGGAUCACCUGAGGUUGGGAGUUCAAGACCAGCCUGACCAACAUGGAGAAACCCCAUCUCUA
rnacentral:SRP_RNA from 1 species